UUGUAGCUUUAAUUUAUUUUUAGUGUUCUGUUCAUUAACUGGUCCAUUCUUUUUCUUCUUCUUUUUAAAUGUCUCUUUUUUCUCUGAUCUCAGUCCGUUGACGAAGGUGAGGCUGAUCAAUGAGCUCAACGAGCGCGAGGCCAACCUUGGGGUCAAUGAGACAGUGUCAUGGCACACAGAGUAUAAAGACAGCGCCUGGGUAUUUGUUGGUGGGUUUCCGUAUGAGCUGACGGAGGGUGACAUCAUCUGUGUCUUCUCUCAGUGCGUAUUUCAGACACGUCAGACACCUUAAAUGUCUCACAGCUGCCUUUAUUCUCUGAUCACAAAAUGAAAUGUAAGUUCAAUUCCUGUCAGGUACGGAGAGAUCGUCAACAUCAACCUGGUCCGAGACAAGAAGACGGGGAAGUCGAAAGGUUUCUGCUUCAUCUGCUACGAGGACCAGAGGAGCACCAUCCUGGCAGUCGACAACUUCAACGGCAUCAAGAUUAAAGGUCGGACCAUCCGGGUGGAUCACGUUAAAGAUUAUCGACCGCCCAAAGACUCGGAGGACAUGGACGACAUCACCAAACAACUGAGAGAGGAAGGCUGCGCUCCGAAAGCCCCGGAGUUGUCAUCCUCCUCCUCCGAUGAAGACGAUCAGUACGUCAUCCCUCUGAAGAAGGUCAAAAAAGAUAAGAAAGAGAAGAAGAAGAAAAAGAAGAAAGAGAAGAAGAAGGAGAAAGAGAAAGAAAAGGAAAGAAGCAGCCGGGCGGCGCACUCCUCCUCUUCAUCACCUUCUCCUCCUCUUCCUCCUCCUGCUGCUGUCAGGGUUAAAGAGGAAAAAGAAGAUGCCGGCUAUGACAAGUACAACCAGAGGGGGGCGCCAAAGGGAAGAGAACAGAACGGACAGAGGACGAGGGAAGACGAGAGAGACAGACAGAGACAGACAGACGGAGACGAGAGACGCAGAGACGCAGAAAGAGACGUAGAAAGAGACGAUAGAAGACGAGACACAGAAAGAGACGAGAGACGAAGAGACGCAGAAAGAGACGAAAGACGAAGAGACGCAGAAAGAGACGAAAAACGAAGAGACGCAGAAAGAGACGAAAGACGAAGAGACGCAGAAAGAGACGAAAGACAAAGAGACGCAGAAAGAGACGAAAGACAAAGAGACGAUAGAAGACGAGAUGUAGAAAGAGACGAAAGACGAAGAGACACAGAAAGAGACGAAAGACGAAGAGACACUGAAAGAGAUGAAAGACGAAGAGACGCAGAAAGAGACGAUAGAAGACGAGAUGUAGAAAGAGACGAUAGAAGACGAGACAUAGACAGAGAUGAUAGAAGAAGAAAUGAUAGAAGAGACGUAGAAAGAGACGAAAGAAUAAGAGACUCAGACAGAGACGACAGAAGAAGAGACAUGGACAGAGACCGGUACCGUAAACACUGACAGUCUGUAGAAACCUGCUGACAACGUUUGGUCCAGUUUGUUCAGUUCUGAUCUGUGUUUUGUGUUUUUUUGAGUUUAUCUGAAUAUCACACAUGUACCAUUAAAUCAUUCUGAGUUAAUAGUGGCAGUUAAAGCUGCAGUACUUGAUAUUUUCAGUAUCACCAGGCAAAAAUUUGUAUGUAUAUUAUGGUUCAAGUGUUCUGACAGAAAACACGAUUUUUUUUGCUCUGUUUUCAUUUUGUGGAAAAUCUGCUCUGUGAUUGGUGGAUUUAUCCGCCUUUAGGUAUUUUCAAACAAGUGAAUUUCCUUCUGAAAUAAACAAAAUAUGUCUUAAAAAUGUGCAACGAUUCAGUAAAAAACCUAAAAACAGGCACACAUUUCUAACACAUGAUGCUUCAGAAGAAAAUUCAUGUCACAGUUUUAGUGUUUGUGCUCAUUUUUCUAUGAAUUUUCCGUAACAGCAGAUCGGAGGUAGUUAAUAAACACUCCAUUAGAAACUGGAAACUUUUUAUUAUAAGAUUAGCAGAUACUUUUCUUCAGUUACCUGUAAUGUGAUGCAGAAUAAUUGUAUUAUUCUUGUGAAAUGUUUGUAUUGUCUUUAAGAAUUUUGUAAUAAAAUGUUUUCAGACCAGUUUAUGUUGUUACACAAUUACAGUGAUCCUGUGCAAGUAUAUAACAGCAAAUGGCUGCAAUUUAAAAGUCAGGUAAAGGAGGCUUUGGGGUAAUCAGUGGGAAAAAUACACAAUCUUUGUUGUAAAUAUCCAGUUUUGGGGAGGUGAUG
ensembl:lncRNA